CCGGCGCACGGGUGAGUAACACGUAUCCAACCUGCCGUCUACUCUUGGACAGCCUUCUGAAAGGAAGAUUAAUACAAGAUGGCAUCAUGAGUCCGCAUGUUCACAUGAUUAAAGGUAUUCCGGUAGACGAUGGGGAUGCGUUCCAUUAGAUAGUAGGCGGGGUAACGGCCCACCUAGUCUUCGAUGGAUAGGGGUUCUGAGAGGAAGGUCCCCCGCAUUGGAACUGAGACACGGUCCAAACUCCUACGGGAGGCAGCAG
rnacentral:rRNA from 1 species